CUCUGUUCACCCAGCACCCCCACAUUUUGGGUUGGCAGGAUGGCUGUAGAAAUCCUGGGCUAAAGGAAGAAUAACGUAGACUAUAUUCAGCGCCCGAGGAAGCAUUUCCCAGUAGCUGAGAUCCUGCUGAGGAUGGGGAGAUGCUGAUAUUUGACUCCAGCUCAAGAGUGGGAGGCUGUGGUGCCCUGCCUUUCCCUCUUUGAAGCACACGUGUGAGGGGAGACACAGGUGGGGACUUAAGAUGUCAGAGGUAGACCACUGAGCUGACACGUCCAAGAAGGAAUCACGGUUCAGCUUUUGUCCAGUGGCACCUGCAACACAGUCAUCUCCCUGAUUCACCCUCGACCCCCAUUUCAGCAAUAAAACAUCUGCUUGAAAAGGAGUAAACCAUGCAGAAGGAGAAAGACUCCCUGCCUCUGUAGCUACUGAUGCUGAAUCCAGGUCACCAGUCCAUUCUCCAGUUGACUCCAUGAGUGGAACCCCCAGGCCUGGCUUCCAACAGGAAGGAUGCUGCUGAGCCUGUCCCACAUGAAAAUUGUAGAGCUCCCUACGGCAGGGUAGGAGUAAGACAAG
rnacentral:lncRNA from 1 species